rnacentral:rRNA from 1 species
GUGUCAGCAGCCGCGGUAAUACGUAGGGUGCGAGCGUUGUCCGGAAUUAUUGGGCGUAAAGGGCUCGUAGGCGGUUUGUCGCGUCGGGAGUGAAAACACCGGGCUUAACUCGGUGCUUGCUUUCGAUACGGGCAGACUUGAGGCAUGCAGGGGAGAACGGAAUUCCUGGUGUAGCGGUGAAAUGCGCAGAUAUCAGGAGGAACACCGGUGGCGAAGGCGGUUCUCUGGGCAUGUUCUGACGCUGAGGAGCGAAAGUGUGGGGAGCGAACAGGAUUAGAAACCCCCGUAGUCC